CCUACGGGAGGCAGCAGUGGGGAAUUUUGCGCAAUGGGGGCAACCCUGACGCAGCAACGCCGCGUGAGUGAUGAAGGCCUUCGGGUCGUAAAGCUCUGUCAGAGGGGAAGAAAUGCAGGUGGUGAACAACCAUUCUGUUUGACGGUACCCUCGAAGGAAGCACCGGCUAACUCCGUGCCAGCAGCCGCGGUAAUACGGAGGGUGCGAGCGUUGUUCGGAAUUAUUGGGCGUAAAGCGCGUGUAGGCGGUUUGUUAAGUCUGAGGUAAAAGCCCCGGGCUCAACCGGGGAAGUGCAUUGGAUACUGGCAGACUUGAGUACGGGAGAGGAGAGUGGAAUUCCCGGGGUAGGAGUGAAAUUCGUAGAUAUCGGGAGGAACACCGGUGGCGAAGGCGACUCUCUGGCCCGAUACUGACGCUGAGACGCGAAAGCGGGGGGAGCAAACAGGAUUAGAUCCCCCGGUAGU
rnacentral:rRNA from 1 species